rnacentral:rRNA from 1 species
CCUACGGGAGGCAGCAGUGAGGAAUAUUGGUCAAUGGACGAGAGUCUGAACCAGCCAAGUAGCGUGAAGGAUGACUGCCCUAUGGGUUGUAAACUUCUUUUAUAUGGGAAUAAAACGUUCCACGUGUGGGAUUUUGUAUGUACCAUAUGAAUAAGGAUCGGCUACUCCGUGCCAGCAGCCGCGGUAAUACGGAGGAUCCGAGCGUUAUCCGGAUUUAUUGGGUUUAAAGGGAGCGUAGGUGGAUUGUUAAGUCAGUUGUGAAAGUUUGCGGGUCAACCGUAAAAUUGCAGUUGAAACUGGCAGUCUUGAGUACAGUAGAGGUGGGCGGAAUUCGUGGUGUAGCGGUGAAAUGCUUAGAUAUCACGAAGAACUCCGAUUGCGAAGGCAGUUCACUGGACUGCAACUGACACUGAGGCUCGAAAGUGUGGGUAUCAAACAGGAUUAGAUACCCUUGUAGUC